UACGUAGGCAGCGAGCGUUGUUCGGAAUUACUGGGCGUAAAGAGUGUGUAGGCGGCGCUCUAAGUUCGGUGUGAAAUCUCUCGGCUUAACUGGGAGGGUGCGCCGGAAACUGGAGUGCUCGAACGUGGGAGAGGAAAGCGGAAUUCCUGGUGUAGCGGUGAAAUGCGUAGAUAUCGGAAGGAACACCAGUGGCGAAAGCGGCUUCCUGGUCUGACACCGACGUUCAGGCACGAAAGCGUGGGGAGCAAACAGG
rnacentral:rRNA from 1 species